rnacentral:tRNA from 1 species
UGGGGUGUGGCUCAGUGGUAGAGCGCUUGCCUAGCAUGUGUGAGGCACUGGGUUCAAUUCUCAGUACCACAU